rnacentral:rRNA from 1 species
CAAGUCGAGCGGCAGCGCGGGGCAACCUGGCGGCGAGCGGCGAACGGGUGAGUAAUACAUCGGAACAUGUCCAUUUGUGGGGGAUAGCCCGGCGAAAGCCGGAUUAAUACCGCAUGAGCCCGAGAGGGGAAAGUGGGGGACCGCAAGGCCUCACGCGAAUGGGUUGGCCGAUGUCCGAUUAGCUAGUUGGUGGGGUAAAGGCCCACCAAGGCGAUGAUCGGUAGCUGGUCUGAGAGGAUGAUCAGCCACACUGGGACUGAGACACGGCCCAGACUCCUACGGGAGGCAGCAGUGGGGAAUUUUGGACAAUGGGGGCAACCCUGAUCCAGCCAUUCCGCGUGAGUGAAGAAGGCCUUCGGGUUGUAAAGCUCUUUUGUCCGGAGCGAAAAGGUUACGGUGAAUAUCCGUGACUACUGACGGUACCGGAAGAAUAAGCACCGGCUAACUACGUGCCAGCAGCCGCGGUAAUACGUAGGGUGCGAGCGUUAAUCGGAAUUACUGGGCGUAAAGCGUGCGCAGGCGGUUUUGUAAGCCAGAUGUGAAAUCCCCGGGCUUAACCUGGGAAUGGCAUUUGGGACUGCAAGGCUGGAGUGCGGCAGAGGAGACUGGAAUUCCUGGUGUAGCAGUGAAAUGCGUAGAUAUCAGGAGGAAUACCGAUGGCGAAGGCAGGUCUCUGGGCUGACACUGACGCUCAUGCACGAAAGCGUGGGGAGCAAACAGGAUUAGAUACCCUGGUAGUCCACGCCCUAAACGAUGUCGACUGGUUGUUGGGGGGUUUGACACUCUCAGUAACGAAGCUAACGCGUGAAGUCGACCGCCUGGGGA